GAUGAACGCUGGCGGCGUGCUUAACACAUGCAAGUCGAACGGAAAGGCCUCUGCUUGCAGGGGUGCUCGAGUGGCGAACGGGUGAGUAACACGUGGGUAAUCUGCCCUGCACUUCGGGAUAAGCCUGGGAAACUGGGUCUAAUACCGGAUAGGACAACGGGUUGGAUGCUGUGGUGGAAAGAUUUUCGGUGGGGGGGGAGCGCGCGGCCUAUCAGCUUGUUGGUGGGGUAGUGGCGUACCAAGACGUCUACGGGUGGCCGGCCGGUGGGGGGGUAGGGCCACAUUGGGGCUGAGAAGCGGCGCAGACGCCUACGGGGGGCAGCAGUGGGGAAGAUUGCUCAAUGGGGGCAGGCCUGAUGCAGCGACGCCGCGUGGGGGGUGACGGCCUUCGGGUUGUAGACUCCUUUCGCUAGGGGCGACGCGGUUUUGUGGCGGUACCUGGAGAAGAAGCACCGGCUAACUACGGG
rnacentral:rRNA from 1 species